CGGCGCGCCUAACACAUGCAAGUCGAACGGAGCUGAGAGGAGCUUGCUUUUCUUAGCUUAGUGGCGAACGGGUGAGUAACGCGUGAGUAACCUGCCCUGGAGUGGGGGACAACAGUUGGAAACGACUGCUAAUACCGCAUAAGCCCACGGCCCGGCAUCGGGCUGAGGGAAAAGGAUUUAUUCGCUUCAGGAUGGACUCGCGUCCAAUUAGCUAGUUGGUGAGGUAACGGCCCACCAAGGCGACGAUUGGUAGCCGGACUGAGAGGUUGAACGGCCACAUUGGGACUGAGACACGGCCCAGACUCCUACGGGAGGCAGCAGUGGGGGAUAUUGCACAAUGGGGGAAACCCUGAUGCAGCGACGCCGCGUGAAGGAAGAAGGUUUUCGGAUUGUAAACUCCUGUCGUUAGGGACGAUAAUGACGGUACCUAACAAGAAAGCACCGGCUAACUACGUGCCAGCAGCCGCGGUAAAACGUAGGGUGCAAGCGUUGUCCGGAAUUACUGGGUGUAAAGGGAGCGCAGGCGGACCGGCAAGUUGGAAGUGAAAACUAUGGGCUCAACCCAUAAAUUGCUUUCAAAACUGCUGGCCUUGAGUAGUGCAGAGGUAGGUGGAAUUCCCGGUGUAGCGGUGGAAUGCGUAGAUAUCGGGAGGAACACCAGUGGCGAAGGCGACCUACUGGGCACCAACUGACGCUGAGGCUCGAAAGCAUGGGUAGCAAACAGGAUUAGAUACCCUGGUAGUCCAUGCCGUAAACGAUGAUUACAAGGUGUUGGAGGAUUGACCCCUUCAGGUGCCGCAGUUAACACAAUAAGUAAUCCACCUGGGGAGUACGACCGCAAGGUUGAAAACUCAAAGGAAUUGACGGGGGCCCGCACAAGCAGUGGAGUAUGUGGUUUAAUUCGAAGCAACGCGAAGAACCUUACCAGGUCUUGACAUCCGAUGCAUAGCGCAGAGAUGCGUGAAGUCCUUCGGGACAUCGAGACAGGUGGUGCAUGGUUGUCGUCAGCUCGUGUCGUGAGAUGUUGGGUUAAGUCCCGCAACGAGCGCAACCCUUAUUGCCAGUUACUACGAAAGAGGACUCUGGCGAGACUGCCGUUGACAAAACGGAGGAAGGUGGGGAUGACGUCAAAUCAUCAUGCCCUUUAUGACCUGGGCUACACACGUACUACAAUGGCGUUUAACAAAGAGAAGCAAGACCGCGAGGUGGAGCAAAACUCAAAAACAACGUCUCAGUUCAGAUUGCAGGCUGCAACUCGCCUGCAUGAAGUCGGAAUUGCUAGUAAUCGCGGAUCAGCAUGCCGCGGUGAAUACGUUCCUCGGGCCUUGCACUCACCGCCCGUCA
rnacentral:rRNA from 1 species